AAGGCUGCAGCAGCAUGCAAAAGAAUUUCAUUUCAUUAAAAAAAAAAUUAAGAAAGGUCUUCAGGAGAUGGUUUUAUUUUGUCUUGUCUGGACAGAGGUGUAAAUUGCUCUUCAAUGUUCCAGGGUGGAAAGACUAGGAGAAAGCACAGGACGCAGAGGUCUACUCGGUGUAGUCUCCCUCGUUUCCAUCCUCACCAUCCACAGAGAGAGCAGCAUACUUGCUUGCAGAACUGAACUUCUGAAAGACAGCCAACAAGGAGCAUUGAGAACCAAAAAAGGUGGCAACAAGAAAACAAAACCCACCUAAACUUCUUCCACUAGUGUGAAAAAACAGAGCUGCAGCUCCGUUUACUGUGGUCUCAAGAGUGAUGGUGACCUGGCACUAUUGGACAGCCAAGAACUUAAGUCAUUCGCCUGUGAAGCCAAAGGACCCAGGUUCAAUUCCCCAGAAGCCAGAAGUACAAGGUGGCACAUGCAUCUGGAGUUUGUAGUGGCUGAAGGCUCUGGUGUACCAAUU